CGUCAUUAUCAACCCUCAAGCCUGGCUUGUCAUUGAACCUCUUGUCGUUAGAAGAUGGGUUCAAAAGAUAAUGACGGUGUCGCGAUCAACCCUAGAUGCAACGAGCUUCACAGCACGCAUGUUAGUGGCUGGCCGGCCCCGGUCUUAACCUUAUUUCAAUGGUUGACCUCGGAUCAGGUAGGAAUACCCGCUGAACUUAA
rnacentral:misc_RNA from 1 species